rnacentral:rRNA from 13 species
UCGAUGAAAAGGAGGAGUGGAAGGUUGAGUGAAGCGAUAAGUUCCGUGAAAUGACAAUUAUUGUUCAACAGAAACCCCUGCAAUGCAAUUUGCGCGGAAUGAUCU